rnacentral:misc_RNA from 1 species
GACGGAGGGCGCGAGCGUUGUUCGGAAUUACUGGGCGUAAAGCGCGCGCAGGCGGACCUGUGCGUCGGGAGUGAAAGCCCGGGGCUCAACCCCGGUGUCCGCUUCCGAUACGGCGGGUCUAGGGACCGGUAGAGGCCGGUGGAAUUCCCGGUGUAGCGGUGGAAUGCGUAGAGAUCGGGAAGAACACCAGUGGCGAAGGCGGCCGGCUGGGCCGGUGGCUCCCCUUCGGGGGAGUGUCCGACGCUCAUGCGCG